rnacentral:rRNA from 1 species
ACUCCUACGGGAGGCAGCAGUGGGGAAUCUUGCGCAAUGCGCGAAAGCGUGACGCAGCAACGCCGCGUGGGGGAAGAAGGCCUUCGGGUUGUAAACCUCUUUCAGUUGGGACGAAGCCUUGCGGGUUAAUAGCCCGUGGAGGUGACGGUACCUUCAGAAGAAGCCCCGGCUAACUACGUGCCAGCAGCCGCGGUAAUACGUAGGGGGCAAGCGUUGUCCGGAAUCAUUGGGCGUAAAGAGCGUG